ACCAUUUGGUUUUGCAAUUAAAAACAGGUUUGGCUUCCCUCUGCAUCAGUAAGACAACGUCAAAGCAACAUUCGUCCUGAAAAUUUUCCCUUGUGAAUUCAAAUGAACUGGGAAAAAUUCUAGUUACAAACUAGAAGGCAGACCCUGCAAAAGAGACACGCAUGCUGAAGUUGCUGGCUAUGAACCCACAAGGAAAAGGAGCCGUCACUCAGGCCAAACAGUUCCAAGAAUGUUGCCUGUGUUGACUCAUCUAAUCCCCAUUACAUUUCAAUGAGGGCCAUCAAGAACAAAUGAGAGAGUGGGUGCCAAGCACAGUCCAGAGGUAGCAGAGGACUGAAGAUGUCAUUGCAAGUCUUGUGUCAUUACAAUGGUAUGGGGGAUUGUUUUCAAUGUCCACCCAAAGAUAAAAGGUCUUGCUUCUUAGGAUCUAGUAUAGUUUGAACAUGAAGUGUUCUGUGUGUUCAUGUAUGUAGUAGCAAGCUACUUGGUGGCGUGCUUUUUGUGUUUGGAGAAAGUAAGUAGAUCCUGAAAAAUCUGACCUUAUCAAGAACAUAAAAUCUCUUCUCAAAUUCUAAACAUGGUGGUAUUAUUGAGAGUUGACAAAAAGCAGGAGGUGGGACAUAAUAAGAGGAAGGAGGAUACUUACGCCCCCUUUCCUUUCUUCCUCUCUCUUUCCAUCCUCCCUCUGACUUCCCCACAUUUCCUUCAAUGCAUAAUCCAUAGCAGCUAUGAGGUGAGCCCCACAGGUUCGGUGUCUUACCAGAAGUGCAAAGCACUGCACAUCAAUGAAGCCUCUGCCAACCUGAGACAAAUAUUCCUCUUCCAAAUGGUUAUCUCAGGUGUCUGUAAUAGUGAUCAAUUUUUUUAAAAUUAUCUAAUAUUGGCUCCAUAAUUGUUUUGGCCUAAGACAAGUGUUAGGGAGAAUUUUCUGUUUUGUCCUUUGCCCUACAAGGGCAUUGUGAACAUUUUUCAGACUUCCUUAACUCCAGUUUCCCUCACCUACAUUUGGGAACAUCAGGACUUACCUGGGGAAAUUACUAGAAAAACAUAAGUAUAAACAUAUUUAAAGAACAUGACUCACUGAGCCAAAUAGCUAAUACCUGAAAUACAUUAAAUUGAGCUUGAGUCUUUACAUACAUUAUCCUUACUAAUCUUGAGGAAAUCACUGUACAGUAGGAGGGAUAUGGGUUAUGAUGCCCUUUCAAUGGAGGAAAAAGGAAGCUUGAGUUCAGUGUCAUAUUUAUGGCAUGGGGUCAGUAUUGGAACUCAGACUUCCACUCACAAGACCUGCAUUUUGCUAUUCUGGUAUAUUUUUUAAAUACAUGUGUAAUGAGUGAACAUUCAUAUGUCCCCGUUUGCAUGUAUGGAGUACAUGUAUGGUGUGGUACAUGUGCACAUGUGAGUGCUUGCAUGUGGAGUUUCAAGGCUAAUGCAAGAAACCUUCCUCACCACUCCUCACCCUUACUCUUUGAGGCAACACCUCUCAAUUGGAUUCAGAGCUCACCAGUAAUGGCUAAUCUGGGUCUGCCCUGCCACUGUCUUUGAAGAGUUAGAAUUACAGUCAUAAGUGGAUACCAAAUCAAGCUCCUGAAAGUUUAUGUUCAUACUUUGAAAAGGUUGAUUUAAGUGACUUCUCAUCUCCAUAUCACCCAUUUUCUGUGCUUGCACAUACUUCUGUUACCUAGACAACCAAAUAUCAGAGCAAGAAGAAAAGGGAACGGACAAAAGUGUGUGAACUCGUGGUGUAGGAAACCAGGUCUCCCUGGCAAGAAAAGGCAGUGGUACCUGAAAGAUGAGAAGAAAAGAACAGAACCUUACGAGAAUCCCAUCGUAAUCUUUCUAAGCAGCGGUGCUGAGUAGCACAGUGUAGGUGCAGCUUGGCAAUAUCCAUGAGUUGGGGAAAGGAAACUGAUGUGUUGAGGGACAAAGGCACUUAAUGUUCCAAGCACCAAUUAUCAAAGAGAGUGGACCAUAAAUUGAAUGACAGAAAUAUGCAGAGGCCCUGACAAUAUCCAUCUUCUUUGUGGCCAACCUAUGCAAAUGAGUAGCUCCCCAUGGCUAGGGAAAGAACCACACAUAAGGGGUUAGAGGUUGUAAUGCUUGACAGUCACACAGGGUUGGGAAUAGUGCUGGUUUCUAAGAGCCAGAACAUAGAGCAUUGAGAUAAUAAAUGCCCCAGACUAUAAGGAUGUAUUCAUGAGAUGUUUCUUGAAGGGUUCAUCUGAGGAGGAAAGACUUGCUCGGAACGUAGAUGCCAUGACCCCAUGUGCUGGGGUACUAGACUGAAAAGUUAGGAGAACGUGAGCUAAGCACCAAUGUUCAUCUCUCUCUGCUUCCCAACAGUGGAUGCCACGUGACCAUCUCCCUUGGCUCCUGCAGCCAUGCCUUCCCUGGAUGUACAAGGGACUGUACUUUCAAACUGUGAGACAAAAUAAACCAGUCCUUCUUUGA